GGGGUUGUGGCUCAAAGGUAGAGUGCUUGCCUAGCAUGCAUGAGGCAUUGGGUUCGAUCCUCAGUACCACA
rnacentral:tRNA from 1 species